rnacentral:rRNA from 1 species
GAUGAACGCUGGCGGCGUGCUUAACACAUGCAAGUCGAACGGUGAAGCCAAGCUUGCUUGGUGGAUCAGUGGCGAACGGGUGAGUAACACGUGAGCAACCUGCCCUGGACUCUGGGAUAAGCGCUGGAAACGGCGUCUAAUACUGGAUAUGAGCCCCUAUCGCAUGGUGGGGGUUGGAAAGAUUCUUUGGUCUGGGAUGGGCUCGCGGCCUAUCAGCUUGUUGGUGAGGUAAUGGCUCACCAAGGCGUCGACGGGUAGCCGGCCUGAGAGGGUGACCGGCCACACUGGGACUGAGACACGGCCCAGACUCCUACGGGAGGCAGCAGUGGGGAAUAUUGCACAAUGGGCGGAAGCCUGAUGCAGCAACGCCGCGUGAGGGAUGACGGCCUUCGGGUUGUAAACCUCUUUUAGCAGGGAAGAAGCGAGAGUGACGGUACCUGCAGAAAAAGCGCCGGCUAACUACGUGCCAGCAGCCGCGGUAAUAC